GGGAAGGUGGCUCAGUGGUAGAGUGCUUGCCUAACAUGCAUGAAGCCCUAGGUUUGAUUCCUCAGUACCA
rnacentral:tRNA from 1 species